rnacentral:tRNA from 1 species
UCCUUGGCAGUCCAGUGGUUAAGACUCAGCACUUUCACUGCUAUGGGCCUGGGUUCAAUCCCUUGUUGGGGAA